AUUGAACGCUGGCGGCAUGCUUUACACAUGCAAGUCGAACGGCAGCGCGGGCUUCGGCCUGGCGGCGAGUGGCGAACGGGUGAGUAAUACAUCGGAACGUGCCCAGUAGUGGGGGAUAGCUCGGCGAAAGCCGGAUUAAUACCGCAUACGACCUGAGGGUGAAAGCGGGGGAUCUUCGGACCUCGCGCUAUUUGAGCGGCCGAUGGCAGAUUAGCUAGUUGGUGGGGUAAAGGCCUACCAAGGCGACGAUCUGUAGCUGGUCUGAGAGGACGACCAGCCACACUGGAACUGAGACACGGCCCAGACUCCUACGGGAGGCAGCAGUGGGGAAUUUUGGACAAUGGGCGAAAGCCUGAUCCAGCAAUGCCGCGUGUGUGAUGAAGGCCUUCGGGUUGUAAAGCACUUUUGGCGGGAACGAAAAGGACUGUGCCAAUACCACGGUUCGAUGACGGUACCCGCAGAAUAAGCACCGGCUAACUACGUG
rnacentral:rRNA from 1 species